rnacentral:rRNA from 1 species
UACAGAGGGUGCGAGCGUUAAUCGGAAUUACUGGGCGUAAAGCGCACGUAGGCGGCUUGGUAUGUCGGGUGUGAAAUCCCCGGGCUCAACCUGGGAACUGCAUCCGAAACUGCCUUGCUAGAGUAUGGGAGAGGGAAGUGGAAUUUCCGGUGUAGCGGUGAAAUGCGUAGAUAUCGGAAGGAACAUCAGUGGCGAAGGCGACUUCCUGGACCAAUACUGACGCUCAGGUGGCGAAAGCGUGGGGAGCAAACAGGG